rnacentral:rRNA from 1 species
UACGUAGGGCGCAAGCGUUGUCCGGAAUUAUUGGGCGUAAAGAGCUCGUAGGCGGUUUGUCGCGUCUGCUGUGAAAUCCCGAGGCUCAACCUCGGGCCUGCAGUGGGUACGGGCAGACUAGAGUGCGGUAGGGGAGAUUGGAAUUCCUGGUGUAGCGGUGGAAUGCGCAGAUAUCAGGAGGAACACCGGUGGCGAAGGCGGGUCUCUGGGCCGUAACUGACGCUGAGGAGCGAAAGCGUGGGGAGCGAACAGG